rnacentral:rRNA from 1 species
ACACGACUACAUUAGAUACCCGGGUAGUCCCAGCCGUAAACUAUGCGCGUUAGGUGUAUCGGUGACCACGAGUUACCGAGGUGCCGAAGGGAAACCGUGAAACGUGCCGCCUGGGAAGUACGGUCGCAAGGCUGAAACUUAAAGGAAUUGGCGGGGGAGCACCACAACAGGUGGAGCCUGCGGUUUAAUUGGACUCAACGCCGGGAAGCUCACCGGAUAGGACAGCAGAAUGAUUGCCGGGCUGAAGACCCUGCAUGACUAGCUG